UAGCUCAGCUGGGAGAGCGCCUGCAUGGCAUGCAGGAGGUCAGCGGUUCGAUCCCG
rnacentral:tRNA from 1 species